rnacentral:rRNA from 1 species
AUUGAACGCUGGCGGCAGGCUUAACACAUGCAAGUCGAGCGGGGGAAGGUAGCUUGCUACCGGACCUAGCGGCGGACGGGUGAGUAAUGCUUAGGAAUCUGCCUAUUAGUGGGGGACAACAUCUCGAAAGGGAUGCUAAUACCGCAUACGUCCUACGGGAGAAAGCAGGGGAUCUUCGGACCUUGCGCUAAUAGGUGAGCCUAAGUCGGAUUAGCUAGUUGGGGGGGUAAAGGCCUACCAAGGCGACGAUCUGUAGCGGGUCUGAGAGGAUGGUCCGCCACACUGGGAGUGACACACGGGCCAGACUCCUACGGGAGGCAGCAGUGGGGAAUAUUGGACAAUGGGGGGAACCCUGAUCCAGCCAUGCCGCGUGUGUGAAGAAGGCCUUAUGGUUGUAAAGCACUUUAAGCGAGGAGGAGGCUACUCUAGUUAAUACCUAGGGAUAGUGGACGUUACUCGCAGAAUAAGCACCGGCUAACUCUGUGCCAGCCGCCGCGGUAA